rnacentral:rRNA from 1 species
UACGUAGGGACCGAGCGUUGUCCGGAAUCAUUGGGCGUAAAGAGCGUGUAGGCGGCCUGUCGCGUCUGCUGUGAAAACUCAGGGCUUAACCCUGAGCUUGCAGUGGGUACGGGCAGACUAGAGUGCGGUAGGGGAGACUGGAAUUCCUGGUGUAGCGGUGAAAUGCGCAGAUAUCAGGAGGAACACCAACUUGCGAAGGCAGCUCGCUGGGACGUUACUGACGCUGGAGACGCGAAAGCCGUGGGGAGCAAACAGG